rnacentral:rRNA from 1 species
AGUGAACGCUGGCGGUAGACCUAACACAUGCAAGUCGAACGGCAGCACAGUAAGAGCUUGCUCUUACGGGUGGCGAGUGGCGGACGGGUGAGGAAUACAUCGGAAUCUACUUUUUCGUGGGGGAUAACGUAGGGAAACUUACGCUAAUACCGCAUACGACCUACGGGUGAAAGCAGGGGAUCUUCGGACCUUGCGCGAUUGAAUGAGCCGAUGUCGGAUUAGCUAGUUGGCGGGGUAAAGGCCCACCAAGGCGACGAUCCGUAGCUGGUCUGAGAGGAUGAUCAGCCACCCUGGAACUGAGACACGGUCCAGACUCCUACGGGAGGGAGCAGUGGGGAAUAUUGGACAAUGGGCGCAAGCCUGAUCCAGCCAUACCGCGUGGGUGAAGAAGGCCUUCGGGUUGUAAAGCCCUUUUGUUGGGAAAGAAAAGCAGCAGGUUAAUACCCCGCUGUUCUGACGGUACCCAAAGAAUAAGCACCGGCUAACUUCGUG